UACGUAGGGUGCAAGCGUUGUUCGGAUUCAUUGGGCGUAAAGGGUGCGUAGGCGGCGCGGUAAGUCGGGUGUGAAAUCUCGGGGCUUAACCCGGAAAGGUCAGCCGAUACUGCGGGGCUAGAGUGCAGAAGGGGCAACUGGAAUUCUCGGUGUAGCGGUGAAAUGCGUAGAUAUCGAGAGGAACACCUGCGGCGAAGGCGGGUUGCUGGGCUGACACUGACGCUGAUGCGCGAAAGCUAGGGGAGCGAACGGG
rnacentral:rRNA from 1 species